rnacentral:rRNA from 1 species
GCGGCGUGCCUAUACAUGCAAGUCGAGCGGACAGAUGGGAGCUUGCUCCCUGAUGUUAGCGGCGGACGGCUGAGUAACACGUGGGUAACCUGCCUGUAAGACUGGGAUAACUCCUGGAAACCGGGGCUAAUACCGGAUGCUUGUUUGAACCGCAUGGUUCAAACAUAAAAGGUGGCUUCGGCUACCACUUACAGAUGGACCCGCGGCGCAUUAGCUAGUUGGUGAGGUAACGGCUCACCAAGGCAACGAUGCGUAGCCGACCUGAGAGGGUGAUCGGCCACACUGGGACUGAGACACGGCCCAGACUCCUACGGGAGGCAGCAGUAGGGAAUCUUCCGCAAUGGACGAAAGUCUGACGGAGCAACGCCGCGUGAGUGAUGAAGGUUUUCGGAUCGUAAAGCUCUGUUGUUAGGGAAGAACAAGUACCGUUCGAAUAGGGCGGUACCUUGACGGUACCUAACCAGAAAGCCACGGCUAACUACGUGCCAGCAGCCGCGGUAAUACGUAUGUGGCAAGCGUUGUCCGGAAUUAUUGGGCGUAAAGGGCUCGCAGGCGGUUUCUUAAGUCUGAUGUGAAAGCCCCCGGCUCACCCGGGGAGGGUCGUUGAAAACUGGGGAACUUGACUGCAGAAAAGGAGAGU